rnacentral:rRNA from 1 species
UACGAAGGGGGCUAGCGUUGUUCGGAAUCACUGGGCGUAAAGCGCACGUAGGCGGAUCUUUAAGUCAGGGGUGAAAUCCCGAGGCUCAACCUCGGAACUGCCUUUGAUACUGGGGAUCUCGAGUCCGGGAGAGGUGAGUGGAACUGCGAGUGUAGAGGUGAAAUUCGUAGAUAUUCGCAAGAACACCAGUGGCGAAGGCGGCUCACUGGCCCGGAACUGACGCUGAGGUGCGAAAGCGUGGGAG